CUAGGGGCAGGGGCCGGGGCUGGGGCGGGUGUGGGCAGGAGCAUCUACGCGGGGGUCGUCGUAGGUGGGGGCCGCGCUAGCGGUGCGGGAGGCGGCAGAGGCAGGGGUAGCGCCACAGGUGGGCGGGUCCCUGCUAGUGGGGCCGCAUCGCAGGUGCGCGAGCCUCGCGGGUGGGCUGGAGGACUCUGGUUGGGGGCUCUAGAGAUGACGGGAGCGCCACAGGUGGGGCAGGGGCAGCGUCCGGAGGAGGGGAGACCGCAGGGGGCCGGGGUCACAUCGUUUGCGGGGCGCGCCAGGGCGGGGCGGGAUAGAACGCCGGGAGCAUCUCCCGGGGGGGCGAGGGAGACCGUGAGUGGGCGCGAGCGCCGGGGCGGGUGGAAACCCCGCAGUUGCGGGGAGCGCCGAUGGCGGGGAGGGGUGGAAUGGGGGCGCGGAGACCCCACCUGGACGCGGAGGCUCGCGGCAGGCCCGGCCGCUCGGGCCGUUGUGGGGGCCGAGCCCGGCCGCGCGCACAGCUUCUAGUGGCCCGCAAGAUUCCUCCUGGGGCGGCGCUGGGAGCCUCGGGGCUCGGCUUCCUCGACCCCCGCCCCCAGGUUUCCUCUGCAGCCUGAGGUCGGGAAGGACGGACGGAGAGUGGAUCCUCCAGGUGGUGGGAAAAGCUUAACAGCCUGGUGCCAGUUACCCUGCGAUGGGAGAGGGGGCAGCCCCCAUAGAAGCACGGGCUUAUGGGACCCGGGUUCCUUCAGUGCUCACCCACGAAGAAGGGCUCCCAAACGGCCCCACUCGACGGCUCACCGGAGGAUGGUCCUGCGCAGUGGGUGUUUGUUGAACAGAUAAGAGACAACAAAACAGACUAAGAAGAGGCCUGUUCUAUGAACCGGGGAAAGUGAAGGAAUCACAAAGAGCGGCUCGCCUUAGGGCAAUCCUGGGGAAAAGAUGGAGAGGCAUGGAUUUUUCUUGGAUGUGUGCCUCAUCCUGGGGCUCAUCCCUCUGAGCAUCAAAUAUUCAUUGCAAAAGAGGGGGAAAAACUCUGCUGCGGACAAUGCUGGAUGGUCUGAUCUCUCCCUUGGCCAGAAUUAACGGGGCAAUUCCUAACCCCUGUUGGUCCUCAGAAUCACCUGGCCUAUGCACACUCCCGCUAAACCACUGAAGUCCAAUUUCUGGGAGCUCAGCCAGGGAAUGUGUAUUUUUAAACAAGCCCCCUAGGUUACUCUGAUAAGUGCAAAGUCAGAGAGCGCUGCUCUCAUGCACUGAGCCUGAGCACUCUUCUAUUAAUAAAAAAGGAGAGGAGAAUCCUGGGUUGGGUGCCCUUCGCCUUCUGGCGGCAGAAGAGCAGAGCCAGGCUCUAAGCACCUGCACCCACCGCUGGGCUCAGGAGCUGCGCUGGAGAAUAGAAGGGCUAAUUUAGUCAUUCAUGCCUUUUUAGAGCAAAUUACAUGUGGAGAGGGUGGGGCACACUGAAUUUUAUUUUAGCCAAAUGCCCCUUAUCUCCUUAUGCAAUUGAUAUUUUUAUAUUGAACAUUAGAGGAUUGGUCAUUUGUCAUCAAGUCGUCUGUAAUACAGAAAACGAUAAAUACAACCUAACAGUUCAAACAUGACGAGUUAAAUAAAUGAUGGUUAAAAAUAUACGCUGCGAUAAUAUUUAAUUGCUGUUACCACUACGAAGAUAAGUGUCGACUGACAUGGAAAUAUGUUCAGGUCAAACAAAUAAAUGAAAAGGCAGGCCUGGACACAGUGUGAGCCUGUGCUUGCAUGUGCGCACGUGUGCGUGUAAGUGUGUGUGUGAGUGUG
rnacentral:lncRNA from 10 species